AAGGCGCGAAACCGGCUCGAGCAUGCGCGGUCCGGCCGAACACAGCUCUGGCAAGCUCCGAUUCGUGGCGCCGGGACCAGCCCGACACCAGACGUGGAGCACCCAUGGGGACUACCCGAAGAAGAAGACUGCGUUGGCCACUGCUAUUUAUCAUGCGUUUGCUCUUGCUUCUUUAUGUUAUAAUAUAUAACAUAUAAUAUAUAAUUUUUUUUUAAAUGAAGCACAAGCCCAAGGGCCCACCGCCUGCGAAGCUGGUGGUAUACUGUCCCUCUGGAGCUGUGCAGUAGCUAUUUACAACAAUAAAACCAGAAAAAAAAAUUUAAACUAUUACGAACUAAAGUGAUGAAAGUUAUUUUUUAAAACUAAUUAUAACCUAAACCCUAUCUACAGAGAACUGAAGAGGAGGAGAGGUAUUGAGCUCCAUCUGCGACUGAGGGCAGUAACGAAGGAACUAAGAGGAGUCAGGCCGCAUGCACGAACUCCAAAGACAAAGGGAUUGGAAGACAUGCCUGAGGACGAAUGUUCGAGUUCAGCGUGCACUUUGAGAAGGCUGUUGGCCAGAAUGGAAGAUGGUGGGGCUGGAAAAACUUGUGAGAUGACGGCGACGUUGGAAUAGGGGAGAACUUUUCUCAGCCAUCAACCUGUUCAAAUUGCUUGCUGGGCUGCUAUGCUUGUUUGGUGUUACUAGAAGAUAUACGCUGUGAAGACAAUGCUUUGCCUUUGGAUCUUCUGUAAGAGCAUAGGAAAAGCCGCUGAGAUCGUCGAAAUGGGCGAGUCCAUUCCAGAUAAAAGGCAAACGCCCUGCGAACAUCUAAGUUGAGGAGAAGCGAGUUGCUCCACCUGUUACCGUUGAACGGUAAGGAGGAACUGGCGGGAAGCCGGACUGCGCGCAAGCUAGCAACCAGCACAAACAGCACGCACCCCACACAUGCAUGGUCCGGCUGGACCACGUCUGACGACUCUCCGACCUGCGGCGCCGGGACGAGCCCAACACCUCAAGCGGAGCACCCAUGGGGACACCACUGAAGAAAGUUGUUGUUAUACACUGCACACAGCAUCCUGUGUCCGGCUUUUAACACUUCUUAGAUCAUGGGUACUUGAGAUCUAGACAGUGUUCAGUAUUAUUUAAUCAGGUCAGUGACAGAAUAUCAGCACAGAGAUGCGUAGUUUUGAAUUUAAAAAUCUCACAAAAUCUCUUUCUGUUGAUGUAUAGACCCUGGAUCCAAAGUAAUAUAAGAGGUGACUGAGGCCUCAAAAAGAUAGUUGUUCACUUUAUAAACACUCCCGGUUAGCUACAUCACAGAAGGUGGCUGAACUAUGUCAGCUGACUCAGGCUAAUGGGACUUACAAGAUGGAGCCUGAGUUCUGGGACACUCUCUACUCACAGGAUAUUAGAGGCUG